AAUAACUCCUCUUCUAAUCAUUUGUGUGCUCAUCACCAAAGUCUUUCUCUCUUUCAAUUCAAACAAUCCUUUCCCAUUAAUAGUUCUGCUUCUUCGGAGUACUAUUGUCAAUAUCCCUUUGCAAAAACAGAGUCAUGGAAAGACGGUACAGAUUGCUGCUUGUGGGAUGGGGUCAAUUGUGAUAUGAAAACCGGGCAAGUCACUGGACUGAACCUCUCUUGCAGCAUGCUUUAUGGCACCCUCCAUUCCAAUAAUUCUCUCUUCUCUCUUCAUCAUCUUCAGGAGCUCGAUCUCUCUUUCAAUGAUUUCAACUCCUCCCAUAUUUCUUCUCGAUUUGGCCAGUUUUCCAAUCUGACACAUCUUAAUCUAAAUAAUUCCAAUUUCGCAGGCCAAGUUCCAUUAGAAGUCUCCCGUCUCUCCAAAUUGAUUUCUCUUAAUCUCUCUGGAAACAACCAUCUAAGUGUAGAACCAGUUUCUUUUGACAAGCUUGUUCGAAACCUAACCAAGCUAAGAGAUCUCGAUUUGAGUUCUGUAAAUAUGUCUUUGGUUGCACCUAAUUCCUUGACGAAUCUGUCCUCUUCUUUGUCAUCUCUUUACCUUGGGGGUUGUGGUUUGCAAGGGAAAAUCCCGGGUAAUAUCUUUCUCCUACCAAACCUUGAAUUACUCAUUCUGCGAGACAAUGAAGGCCUCACUGGCUCUUUUCCUUCCUCCAAUGUGAGUAAUGUCCUCUGGCUGUUGGACCUUUCUAAUACAAAAAUUUCAAUUUAUCUAGAAAAUGACUCCAUCAGAAAUUUAAAGUCGUUAGAGUAUAUGUUACUUAGUAAUUGUAACAUUGUUGGGUCAAAACUAGCUCAGUUUGGUAAUCUUACACGGCUGUUUCAAUUAGACCUCUCAAAUAGUAAUAUUAGUGGUCAUAUUCCAUCUUCAUUUGGAAAUCUUGUGCAGCUUGAUUACUUGAAUCUUAGUUACAAUAAUUUUACAGGUCAGAUUCCAUCAUCACUUGGAAAUCUUGUGCAGCUCAUUUCCUUGGAUCUUAGUUCCAAUAACUUGAAAGGUCAGAUUCCUGAUUCUUUCGCUAAGCUAACCCUACUCGUAUAUUUAGAUUUAUCAAACAAUCAACUCCAAGGCCCAAUCCAUUCUCAACUAAGUACCAUUCUAGAUCUAUACCGAUUAUUUUUAUAUGGUAACUCACUCAAUGGGACGAUACCAUCCUUUUUAUUUGCUCUCCCUUCUCUACUCAAUUUGGACCUUCAUAAUAAUCAAUUCAUAGGCAAUAUAAGUGAAUUCCAACACAAUUCAUUAGAAUUUCUUGAUUUGAGCAAUAACUCCUUGCAUGGUCCAAUCCCAAGUUCAAUUUUCAAUCAAGAGAACUUGGGAGUUCUUAUUCUUGCAUCCAACAAUAAAUUGACAUGGGAGGUUCCUUCUUCAAUUUGCAAGUUAAAAUUCCUUCGAGUCCUGGACCUUUCCAACAAUAACUUGAGUGGUUCUGCACCACAAUGUUUGGGAAACUUCAGCAACAUACUCUCAAUUUUGCAUCUAGGCAUGAACAAUCUCCGAGGCACUAUUCCAUCAACAUUUUCAGAGGGAAGUAACUUGGAAUAUCUCAACCUCAAUGGCAAUGAAUUAGAAGGGAAAAUACCGUUGUCUAUUGUCAACUGCACAAUGCUGGAGUUUCUUAAUCUUGGUAACAAUAAGAUUGAGGAUACAUUCCCCUAUUUCCUAGAAAUGCUUCCGGAGCUAAAGAUUCUUGUUCUAAAAUCCAAUAAACUCCAAGGUUUUAUGAAGGGUCCGACUACUUUUAAUUCCUUCUCCAAAUUACAGAUUCUUGACAUCUCUGAAAAUAAUUUGAGCGGACCAUUGCCAGAAGAGCUUUUCAAUAGUCUUGAAGGAAUGAUGAAUGUCGAUCAAGAUAUUUACAUGACGGCAAGAAAUUACUCUGGCUACACCUAUUCCAUAAAAAUGACAUGGAAAGGGUUGGAAAUUGAGUUUGUGAAAAUCCAAAGUAUCCUCAGAGUACUUGAUUUAUCAAGUAACAGUUUCACCGGUGAGAUUCCAAAACCAAUUGGAAAGCUUAAAGGACUUCAACAACUUAACCUCUCUCACAAUUUCCUUACAGGCCAUAUCCAAUCAUCAUUAGGUUUUAACCAGUCUACAGUCAUUAGAUAUGUCUUCAAAUAUGCUUACGGGAAGGAUUCCUGUGCAGUUGACAGAUCUAACAUUUCUUGAAGUCUUAAACCUUUCACAAAACAAACUCGAGGGGCCCAUACCUGGUGGGAAGCAGUUCAACACGUUUGAUCCAAGCUCAUUUCAAGGAAACUUGGGUUUAUGUGGAUUCCCAAUGCCAACAGAAUGCAACAAUGGCGUGGUACCACCAUUACCGCCAUCAAACUUUAAUGAAGGAGAUGAUUCAACACUGUUUGAAGAUGGGUUUGGAUGGAAAGCUGUGGCAAUGGGGUAUGGAUGUGGGUUUGUAUUUGGAGUCACAAUGGGUUAUAUUGUGUUUAGAACAAGACGACCUGCAUGGUUUCAUAGGAUGGUUGAACGUCAAUGGAAUCUGAAGGCAGGAAGAACAAAGAAGAAUGCUCGCAUGUAUGGUGCAAGAAGAAAUUAAAAUAAGUUUUGCAAGCUUUUGAUAAUUUCUGUUUUUAUUAGCAAAGUUUGUGUGAGACUAUCUUUUCUUUGCUAUUUCAUUUGAUAAGUCUAACAUUUCUAAUUCUAUGAGUAUAGAACUAUAAGUAUUCAUGACUAUAGUUAUAUGUUUUUUUUUUUUUUUGCAGCACAAUUUCAAUGAAGGUUUUACCUCACGAGAUACCAAGUAGAGUUGAUAUUGGAACAACAAUAAAGUGGCAGAUUCAUAGUACUGGAUUUCUGUUGUUCAUUUUUUUUUUUUUUUUACUUCUAUGAAAAAAAGUCAAAGAAUGUAAUAGUUAAUGUAUGUUGUAGUUUAUGUUAAACUAUAAAAUCAUGCUUUAUAUUACCAAAUCAAUAUUAAUUAGUAGAGAGAAAUAGAACAAAAACAAUAAAGAAAUUAAGAACAACAAAUAUAAUUAAAUUUCUUUAAAUGUAUAAAAAAUAUUUUAUAAGUGAUAAUACUUUUAGUAUCAAACGAAGAUUUGGAAUGAAUUUCAGAACGGUAUUGUAAACCUUGAUUUGAAGAAUCUUAUCCACCUUAUCAUAAAGCUUCCUUCACAUUACACUCCUGACCUGGAAAUAACAAAUAUUUCGGUUCUCAAUUCUCUCUCUGUUCAAGCACAUGGAGUCUGAGAGACAAUGGUAGGGAAAAAGGGACCUUAUUCUGCAGUAGCACUUCUCUUAGUCUUCCAAUCUUCCUGGUGAUUUUGCAGGUUUUGUUGCUGAGUUUAAGGCUUUUAGGCCUCUAGGAACUGUGUGUUGUUACUUAUUUUUAAUCCUCACAUUAAAAAAAAUAUAUUCAUAAAAAACCAAAAAAUAAUAGCAAUGAGAAGAAGAUAUCCAAGUUUAGAGCAAUUGAGGAAUGAAUUAAUAGUUCAGAAAGAACAAGGAUUGUGCUGUAAAUGGUGCUAAAAUGCAGGGGUCUAAUUACAAAUUAUCCAGGUGCUUGAUUAUAAAAUUGUGAAACCCCAAGGACCAAAUCAAAAGAUAGAGGCAGAAUUGAAGAAAGGAGCGUUAACAACCAACAACCUCACAUCUUCGUCUGUUUCAGUUACCAACAAUUGUGCGUAAAAGUUUCAGCGCCAUCGUCUUCGUCUGUCUCAGUUACAGGUAAGUUUCAUACAUUCUUACCUGUAUUUGACUUCAUUUAUAAUUACAUAGGUACCAUGCAUCUUCAUUUAUAAUUGACUUCUUCCUGUAUAAGCCUGCUGGGUCCAGCCCUGUUACAUGGACCGAUCUGGACCCAGUCCAAAAAAAAUAAAAAACAGAGAGAUUAGUGGUUUUAUCAUGUAUUUAUUUUGUGCUUUGUAUUUUUUUAUAAAAAUAUAAAUUUGGUAUAUUAAAAUACUUGGUUUUCUAAGAAUUGUGGCAAAUGUAUGUGUGUCCAAAUUUCAUACAACAUAGAAAAUUAAAAAAUAUGUCUUAACAUGUAUUUGCGGCUUUAAUAACAAGUUUAUUAAAGUCACCAGAACUAAGUCAAUAUUUUUUUAAAAAAAAAAUUUUGUCUUCCUUUUUAAUAUCUACGAUUACAAACUUACACGUAAGACAUAUUUCUAAUAUUAAAUAAAAAUUAGUUUUUUUUGCAAUGAUUAGAAUGGUUAGAUUUUACCCUGCAAAAUAAAAAUUAGCACAACAAUAGCUUAGAAUAUAUAAAACAAUUAAAAAAUACAGUUAUCUUAGAUAGGGUGUGUUUGAAAUACUAAUAUUUUCUAUUUAUGUAACUAUUCCUUGUAUCUUAUCUUUCAUACUAGUUGCAUUUUAAUAAUCAAAAUUCUAGAUAACGACUCCCAUUAUAUUUAUAUAUAUAAAAAAAACUUGGAAUUCUUAUCUCCCUAUUUUUCCCUAUUUUUCCGGGAUACCAACAUUAAGAGUGGAUGUUACCGCCUUGACACCAGACAUGUGUGAUACUGUGCUUGAGAAUAAUCUGCCCCAUAAAGAUCCAUUUGAUCUGAUACUGAAGAAAGGUAAGCUAUUGUAGUCUUUGUAGAAAAAAUUAGUGGUGGUGAUUGAUAAUAAGGAUACAAAGAAGAUGAAGAUGAGUGUGAACUGAUUGAAGGAAGUGCUAUUUGGAAAUUUGGCUGUGGAGUUCGUUAAUUGUUCAAAAAUGAGCAGAAGACAGCUUCUGCUCCUUGCUGUGCUCCACUUGAAGUUGAUUGAAUGCUAGCAAAUAGGUAAAUGGGCCUUAGGCAUUGUGGAUUUUUUUUUUGUUGAUAUUAUCCCUCUCAAAGAUCUGAACCUGUGGUUCUAGUUCGAGGGCUUUCUUCCAUAUGGAUAUUUAUAUGGGAUCCAUUUGUUUUGUCCCUUCCCUUUUCUCACAAAUUUAAUGACAUCUUACUUCACGCAAAACUAUUACAAAAAGCUUGUCAAAGUAUACUUUUUCCACGUAAUGUGUACUUGGAGAAGCUUUUUGUACUCUAAUCAUUGAGCCUAAACAUGUUUAAGGUUUGUCUCAUGUACCAUGUAAUAUUAAUAUUGGGUUUGAUAUGAGAUUAAAAAUUUUAAGGAAAAUGUUGAGGUGACAAAAUAAUAAAUGAAGUGUAAAGAACUAAAAUGAGUUAAAAAGAUGAAGUGUUUAAGAAUUUAGAAGAUGAUGUUGAAGAAUGACAAUAUAAGAAGUUACUAAAAGAAAAAGGAUGCUCGUUUGUUUUUAGUAUUCAGCUAUUAGUCUGUCAUUAUUUUCUUUUUUAUUAUUUUUUUCUUUUUGCUUUUUUGUUAGUCCUUUCUAACUAACGUACAGCUAGUGCAACGUGGGUAGUAGGUCAUUCAUUUCUCAUGGGAUAGCAGCCCUAAGGUGUAUAUAUAUAUGUAUACAAGUUUGCAUUCUUUAGCAAGUAAUACAGAGAAUAAAUUUGUAUCAUGAGUUUCGUGAGUUAACCUGAGUUAAUUUAAGUUAUUUUUUUUAUAUUUGUUGUUUAAUUAUAUAUAUUUUUUAAUUUUAUCCUUUAACAUAAAAUUGAUUAAAAAUUAAAUUUCAUAAUUUGUUUUGAUUUAUUUUCUAUGCAGUUAUUCUAGUUAUAUGAUCAAAGUUGCAAGUUUAGCAGGUUUGUCAAAGUUGACUCAAGUUACUUGUUUUUUUAUUGGAUUUUUUUUUAAAAUUUAUCUUUCAAUAUUAUGCUAAUAGAUCAACUCAAACUCAACUUAUUUUAAAAGUUGAAACCCAAUCCAUCCUCCUUCUUGGUAAAGAAAUCAAAGGAAGUUCUAAUAAGAGCAAAAGUUGAAUCUAUUAGAACAUAGACUUGCUGCAAAUGUAAGGAUAUUAUCUACUCUUGAAAAAAAUGAUAAUUUUAAAAAUUAAUAUUGCCGUGUUUCCAACAUUCUUGUAUAGUCAACAAAGGGAUCUUAUUGUAUGGAAAUAUUUGCAAUUGAAUAAUUCAACCAAUCUUUGUCAGUUCUAGUACGCUGCUCUGUUUUCCGGUAAUGGUUCAGUAAUGUUAUUCCUAAACUUUCACUAAAUAUUUUCUUUAAUUUCCGGUACGCUGCUCUGAAAUUCCUUCAAGUCUAACUUGUAAAAUAAUAGUUUGAGCGGUUCUACACUCAAACAAUUCUAGGCAAAAUUAUCUGUGUUUUGAAAAUUCUUGAAUUAUUUGUAGCUUUCAAUUUUUUUUUAGAUUAUUUUGAUGUGUUGGGUUAAAAAUAAUAUUUUUUUAAAAAAUAUUAUUUGAUAUAUUUUUAAACAAAAAAUAUUUUAAAAACAACUUUUAUUAUAUUUUUAAAGAGAUAAUUAUUCAACUAAGGGACCUAUUUGAUAGUCUUAUGUCUCAGCUAAGGAUGCUUCACCCUCCCAAACAUUCCUGGGAUAUUUGAAAGUAUUGUAAUGAUUAUUUUUUAAAAUACUUUUCAUUUUAAAAUAUAUCAAAAUAAUAUUUUAUUAUUAUUUUUUAAAAAAUUAUUUUUAACAUCAGCAUAUUAAAAUGAUCUAAAAAUAUCAAAAAAAAAAUUAAAACAAAUAAAAAAAUUUUAAAUUUUUUAAAAAAAAACAAUUCUAAAACACAAUAUUUCUCCCCGCAAUGAGAAAGAUCAAACACACAAUAAUGACUUUGAUUUCCUCAUGCACCCAUUCCUAGGAUUGGUUUGUCUAUAUGCCUUUGAAAAAUAAUUAAACUGCUAUGCGUUACCGAGCGCACGCAAAGAGUACGAUACAUAAGUGCAAAGUCAUUAGUGCCCCCAUUGCUUUGCGUAAUUAUUUCUUUGCCAAUAAACAACAAUUUAGUUUGCGAUAUUUGAAGUCAAUAUGAUAGGAACCUUACAUAUUCCGAUGGUUUUUAUCUUCCUUUAUUUUUUUAAUUAUUAAAUCCUAAAAAUUAUUUUUUAAUUAAAAAUACAUCAAAAUAACAUAUUAUAAAAAAUGACAUCAACAUAUUAUAAGCAUUAAAAAUCUUAUAAAAAAAUAUAAAAAAACAUCAAUUUGAUACUUUUACAAUACCGCUAAACAAGCUAAAAAAAGAGUUUUAAUUAGAAUUAUAGGCCUCCUGCUGUGCUAUAAGGCUUUAUCUAUCUAUUUUUAUGAUUUUUAAUAUAAAAGGAUAUAGUAUUGUGCAAGUGAUAUUGUCCCUAAGUGAAUAAAAUUCUUCAUAAAUAUUUGGCACAAUCUUAUAUUUGAUAAAUUUCAAAUCAUUGAUAAUUUAUAUUUGAAAAAUCAACUUUUUGAUGACAACAUCAUGAUCAUCUUGUUCAAUAAUUAGGAUUAAUUCAUCAGUUUCAAGUAACAUCUUUCCAUAUCCUUAGGAGUAUAAAAGUCUUCUAAGGACCUAUUAUAUUUCAAUCACCAUUAAAUUUUAUAAUGGAUAUUUAUCCCUCAUUAAUAUUGUGCAAUUUAUUCCUCGCAUAAUGUUGUAUAAGAUAUAUUUAUCUUUUAUUAUUGCUAUAAAAAGGAAAUGACUUUUCAGGCCCUUAACUCCAGCAAAAUAACAAGGUUCUGGGGCUAUAAAUACUCAUUGAACUAUCUAGGUAAAGGGUUUACAAUCUUUAUUUUUUACUAUAUACAUAUUUUUUAAUUAUUUGUUUACAUAAUCUAAUAGUUAAAUUAUUUUUUAUUUAAAAUAGAAAAAGGACAAAGGAAAAAUCGAAGUAUAUAAAUUGAAAGAUUGAUAAGCAAGAAAAAGUAUUUUUUUUUAUUGAAAUAAGCAUGAUCAAAAUUUGUCAAAAAUCUAUUUAAUUACUUUUAAUACUAAAAGGAUUAGUUAAUUUAAGAAAAAUUAGCAACCCCUGAAACACUAUUUAAUCCGUUUAGGAAAUCAUUAUUGUCGUGUUUUUAUUCUUAGAGCAUGCUAGUAUGGUGGAUGUUGCUUUUUAAAAUGUUUUUUUAUUUGGAAAUAUAUCAAAAUAGUAUUUUUGUGUUUUUUUUGUUUUUUUAAUUCAUUUUUUACAAGAAACCAAUAUUUUUAUGUUUUUACAUCGUUUUGAUAUGUUAAUGUAAAUAACGUACUGUUAACGUUGGGCGAGCUACAAAGCAAGCUCUAAUUAGCACAUAGACUUGCUGCACAUCACUCAAAUAGACUUGAUCUCAACAAAAAAAUAUUAAAGGAAAUAUUCGCAAUUGAAUAAUUCAACCCUCAGUUCCAUAUUCAGCACCACAUGAAUACUCUUCUGGACCAUUGCCUAUUGCUUUCUCUUGUUUAGUCAUCAACAAAUUAAGGGAGCUCUCCUUGCGAGGAAAUAUUCGCAAUUGAAUAAUUCAACCCUCAGUUCCCAAUUCAGCACCUCAUGAAGAGUCGACAUAUCUAUACAUCCAAGUUCCGAUCGAAGACUUGGAGGUAAAGGACAGACCAAAUGAAGAUGGUCUCCUUGUUGAUGCUGAAAGAGAAAGACCUUUUAGGACGACCAAUCCCACAGCAUCUAAUUGAGGGCAAGAACCUUCAAACUCCAUUAAUUCUCCAUUGUUUGUCUGUUUUCUAGUAACGGUUCAACAAAGGUAUUGCCAGAACGUGUCGUCUUACCUUCGGUGAAAACUGAUAUAGGAAGUGUAAUUAAUGUGAAUGAGAUUGCAAUAGUAUAAGAACAUAUUGUGAUAAAAUUAUAAGAAGGUGCUGAUUGGAAAAUGAAAUUAAAACAUGGCGAUGAAUUCACGUGAAUGAGAUUAUAAUAGUAUAAGAAGGCAUAUUGUGAUAACACAAAAAAACAAAAUGAAGGUAGAUGUUGCAGGUAACCGCAGAUUUAUCCAGCAAAAAUCUGUACAAGAGUUGCAUUAUUGUCUUUUGUUGGCAUGGAGUCUUAUAGAAGACGAGGACGAGUGGUAGAAGUCCCCAGCAACGUACACUUCCCAUAAGACGAGCUGCAGAGGAAGAGCACAAACUGUAUCUAUUAGCACAUGUUCAUUGCUAUUUUCUGGAAACAUAUAAAUUGUUUAACCCUUCAAGUAAACAGUCCCCUGUUCUUGUUAAUAAUAGCAAUAAUAAUCUAUCAGUAUAUGCGAAGGGUAGAUGUCCCCGAGAACAGCUGCCAUCAGACGAGCUGCAAAGGAAGUUCUAAUGAGAGCAUGAACUGUAUCUGUUAGCACAAAGACUGCUGAAAUGUCAAUUUUGGAAAUUAGUACUGCCGUGUUUCCAACGCUCACUCUUGUGUGGAAUUAUUUGCAAGUGAACCUUCAGUUCCAUGAAGAGUGGACAGUAUCUAUACAUCCAAGUUCCGAAGGCUUGGAGGUCAAGGACAGAUCACAAAAUGCAGAUUCGUUCUCCCUUGUUGAUGCUGAAAUUAAGAGAAAGACCUUUUAGGACGGACCAAUCCCAGAGCAUCUUGAGGGCAAGAACCUUCAAACUCCAUUAAUUCUCCAUUGAUUGUCAGUUUUUAGUAACUGUUCAAUAAAGCUAUUGCCAGAACGUGUUGACUGGAGACUGGAUUGAAGUGGACAUAAGAAGGUGAGGAUGACUCUUUAACUCUGCAUGCCCCUUCUUAAGCUGUGAGUAAACUACGAUCGUAAAUUAUUAAGAAGUUUUCUUCCGAUUUUGUGGCUUGAAUUUCUUGAAAUUAUAUUUUAGUGAGCAUAGCAAUCUUCGCAUAAAUCUUAUUGCUAAAUACAAUUUGGAAAAACAUCUCUGAACAUUCAAAUUAAGCUGUCACGAUUUUUUUUUUUUUUAUCUUACUAUAAAUAUUUGACAAUUAACUACCUUAUUUAUUAUAAUUAGCACUUGUGUUAGUGAAUUAAGGGACUUCUCCUGUGUGGAAAUAUUCGCUGAAUAAUUUAUUGGUUACUUAAUCUUGUUGUACAGCGCGGAUUGGACAUAAGAAGGUGAAGAUGACUUUGUUUAUCAUUUUCUUUUUCAAUUAUGUACACAUAAUCCCAUAGUUUAAAUUAUUUAUUAUUUAGAAUAGAAAAAGGAAAAAUCAAAGUAUAUCAAUUGAAGGAAUGAUAACCAAGAAAAGUAUUUAAAAAAAAAAACAAAAUAUUACUAAUCAAGAUUUGUCAUCAAAUAACUAUUUAGUUAUUUUAAUACUAAAAGGAUUCAUUAAUUUAAGAAAUAUUAGCAACCUCUAAAACACUAUUUAAUCCAUUUAGAAUAUCAAUAUUGAUUUUUAUAUAUAUUUUUUAUAAUUUUAAUGAAUUAAUAUCAAAAAUUAAAAAUAAAAUUUAAAAAACAUCAUAUUAAUAUAUUUUCAAUUAAAAAACAUCUUUACAAAAUAAUUAAUUGUAGUGCAUAUUAUACAAAAAAACUUACAGCGUAGUGCACCUAUAUAGUAUUAUCCACUGUUAAAAAAUGUCAAUUCUAGAAAUUAAUUUUGCCGUGUUUCCAACACUCUUGUAUAGUCAACAACAAAGUGACGACGAUUGGUUUUCCCUUGUUGAUGCUGGAAAAGAAAGAUCGUUUAGGCCUACACUAACUUGGUAAUCUUGAGGGCAAGAACCUCGAAACUCCAAUCUUUGACAGUUUUAGCACGCUGCUCUGUUUUCCGGUAAUGCUUCAGUCAACUAAGGGACAGUAUAUCCUGUGUGGAAAUAUUUGCAAUUGAAUUCAGUUUCAUAUACAAUAUAUCCUGAACAUUCGUUUUCCUUGUUGAUGGUCAAGGCAAGCUUCGCAGAAAUUUCAUUGCUAAAUACAGUUUAGAAAAACAUCUCUGCACUAAGUUGUUAGUGCUCAAGAAAUUUCAUUUCUUACACAAUUUUUUUUAUAUAUAAAAUGACUUUGGGGUCAAGAAAAAGGACAGACCAAGUUGUUAGUACUCAAGGUUGUUUUUUUUUUUUUUACAGAAACUGAAUGAACAGAAGAAUCGAAGAUUGGUUUGUCUAUAAAUACUACUAAUGGUGCCUUUCUUUAUUUCUCAUCUCUCCCCAAUCGUUCAGCAUUCCAUAUAUACUUUGAAUCCUGAAGAGCCAACAUGAAGUUUUCAUUAUCCUUCACUCAAUUUCUCUGUUCCAUUUUGUUUCUCUUCCAUUUUCAUACAACAAUUUCAUCAUCAUUCUCCUCAAAUCACUCCUCUUCUAAUCAUUUGUGUGCUCAUCACCAAAGUCUUUCUCUCCUUCAAUUCAAACAAUCCUUUUCCAUUAAAAAUUCUAGGCAGGUUUGCCGAUAUCCCAAGACAGAGUCAUGGAAAGACGGUACAGAUUGCUGCUUGUGGGAUGGGAUCACUUGUGAUAUGAAAACCGGGCAAGUCACUGGACUGAACCUCUCUUGCAGCAUGCUUAAUGGCACCCUCCAUUCCAAUAAUUCUCUCUUCUCUCUUCAUCAUCUUCAGGAGCUCGAUCUCUCUUUCAAUGAUUUCAACUCCUCCCAUAUUUCUUCUCGAUUUGGCCAGUUUUCCAAUCUGACACAUCUUCAUCUAAUGUCUUCCAAUUUCGCAGGCCAAGUUCCAUUAGAAGUCUCCCGUCUCUCCAAAUUGGUUUCUCUUGAUCUCUCUGAAAACUACGAUCUAAGUGUAGGACCAAUUUCUUUUGACAAGCUUGUUCGAAACCUAACCAAGCUUAGACAGCUCGAUUUGAGUUUGGUAGACAUGUCACUGGUUGUACCCAGUUCCUUGAUGAAUCUGUCUUCUUCUUUGUCAUUUCUUUCCCUUGAAUAUUGUAACCUGCAAGGAAAAUUCCCAUCCUCAAUGGGAAACCAUAAGCACC
rnacentral:lncRNA from 1 species